rnacentral:rRNA from 1 species
UACGGGGGGGGCAAGCGUUGUUCGGAAUUACUGGGCGUAAAGGGCCAGUAGGCGGCCAACUAAGUCGGAUGUGAAAUCCCCAGGCUUAACCUGGGAACUGCAUCCGAUACUGGAUGGCUUGAAUUCGAGAGAGGGAUGCAGAAUUCCAGGUGUAGCGGUGAAAUGCGUAGAUAUCUGGAGGAAUACCGGUGGCGAAGGCGGCAUCCUGGACCGACAUUGACGCUGAACGGCGAAAGCUAGGGGAGCAAACGGG